UACGGAGGAUGCGAGCGUUAUCCGGAUUUAUUGGGUUUAAAGGGUGCGUAGGCGGAUCGUUAAGUCAGUGGUCAAAUUGAGGGGCUCAACCCCUUCCCGCCAUUGAAACUGGCGAUCUUGAGUGGAAGAGAAGUAUGCGGAAUGCGUGGUGUAGCGGUGAAAUGCAUAGAUAUCACGCAGAACCCCGAUUGCGAAGGCAGCAUGCCGGCUUCCGACUGACGCUGAAGCACAAAAGCGUGGGGAUCGAACAGG
rnacentral:rRNA from 1 species